rnacentral:rRNA from 1 species
UGAGUUUGAUCCUGGCUCAGGACGAACGCUGGCGGCGUGCCUAAUACAUGCAAGUCGAGCGGACCGACGGGAGCUUGCUCCCUUAGGUCAGCGGCGGACGGGUGAGUAACACGUGGGUAACCUGCCUGUAAGACUGGGAUAACUCCGGGAAACCGGGGCUAAUACCGGAUGCUUGAUUGAACCGCAUGGUUCAAUCAUAAAAGGUGGCUUUUAGCUACCACUUACAGAUGGACCCGCGGCGCAUUAGCUAGUUGGUGAGGUAACGGCUCACCAAGGCGACGAUGCGUAGCCGACCUGAGAGGGUGAUCGGCCACACUGGGACUGAGACACGGCCCAGACUCCUACGGGAGGCAGCAGUAGGGAAUCUUCCGCAAUGGACGAAAGUCUGACGGAGCAACGCCGCGUGAGUGAUGAAGGUUUUCGGAUCGUAAAACUCUGUUGUUAGGGAAGAACAAGUACCGUUCGAAUAGGGCGGUACCUUGACGGUACCUAACCAGAAAGCCACGGCUAACUACGUGCCAGCAGCCGCGGUAAUACGUAGGUGGCAAGCGUUGUCCGGAAUUAUUGGGCGUAAAGCGCGCGCAGGCGGUUUCUUAAGUCUGAUGUGAAAGCCCCCGGCUCAACCGGGGAGGGUCAUUGGAAACUGGGGAACUUGAGUGCAGAAGAGGAGAGUGGAAUUCCACGUGUAGCGGUGAAAUGCGUAGAGAUGUGGAGGAACACCAGUGGCGAAGGCGACUCUCUGGUCUGUAACUGACGCUGAGGCGCGAAAGCGUGGGGAGCGAACAGGAUUAGAUACCCUGGUAGUCCACGCCGUAAACGAUGUGUGCUAAGUGUUAGAGGGUUUCCGCCCUUUAGUGCUGCAGCAAACGCAUUAAGCACUCCGCCUGGGGAGUACGGUCGCAAGACUGAAACUCAAAGGAAUUGACGGGGGCCCGCACAAGCGGUGGAGCAUGUGGUUUAAUUCGAAGCAACGCGAAGAACCUUACCAGGUCUUGACAUCCUCUGACAACCCUAGAGAUAGGGCUUCCCCUUCGGGGGCAGAGUGACAGGUGGUGCAUGGUUGUCGUCAGCUCGUGUCGUGAGAUGUUGGGUUAAGUCCCGCAACGAGCGCAACCCUUGAUCUUAGUUGCCAGCAUUCAGUUGGGCACUCUAAGGUGACUGCCGGUGACAAACCGGAGGAAGGUGGGGAUGACGUCAAAUCAUCAUGCCCCUUAUGACCUGGGCUACACACGUGCUACAAUGGGCAGAACAAAGGGCAGCGAAGCCGCGAGGCUAAGCCAAUCCCACAAAUCUGUUCUCAGUUCGGAUCGCAGUCUGCAACUCGACUGCGUGAAG